rnacentral:rRNA from 1 species
CAGGUAGCGUAAUAACCAGCCUUCUAAUUAGAGGCCAGUGAAAGGCAACACAUGGGACCACCUAUAUCUAAUGUGCCAAAAGAAUUUUACCUUUGAGUGAAAAGGCUCAACUAAUCAAAAAAGACGAAAAGACCCCGCGGAGCUUUACUUAAAAGUUACAGACCAUAUAAAAUCAAUACUAAAAGUUUGGUUGGGGCAACCUUGGAACAAAUAAUCUUCCAAUUCAUCUCUCUGCAACAAAAUACAAAACCUUUAUGGACUAAAAAGAAGCUACCCCGGGGAUAACAGCGUAAUCCAACUAAAA